ACGUCAAGUCCUCAUGGCUUUAUGCUUAGGGCUACACACGUGCUACAAUGGGUGGUACAAAGAGAAGCCAACUCGCGAGAGCGCGCCAAUCUCAAAAAGCCAUCCUCAGUUCGGAUUGGAGUCUGCAACUCGACUCCAUGAAGUUGGAAUCGCUAGUAAUCGCGGAUCAGCAUGCCGCGGUGAAUACGUUCCCGGGCCUU
rnacentral:rRNA from 1 species